AAACUUUUUUUCGUUUUCUUACGGUUCUUAUGGUAUAGAAAUACCACUAUAAGUCGUCCGUUGAAUAUUCUAUACGCAGAAGUAUGGAACACCACGAAUGUCCCCGUUGAUAACUAAACGGAUCAUUAUGCGUACCUGCCGGGUUCAACUUUAAGAAGACUCCUUAGGGUGUGGCGAUUCUGUAUCUAACCGUUGAAUUCCGCACGGCGAGUGCCGGCCGCCGAAUGGCGACCCGCAGAUUUCCA